rnacentral:tRNA from 1 species
GCCGCAGCUCAGCACGCAGAUCACCCAGCCGCUCUCCUAAAGCGGGUGUCGCAGGUUCGAAUCCUGCCGGAGGCA